UGCCAGCAGCCGCGGUAAUACGGAGGGGGUUAGCGUUGUUCGGAAUUACUGGGCGUAAAGCGUACGUGGGCGGAUUAAUAAGUUAGAGGUGAAAUCCCAGGGCUCAACCCUGGAACUGCCUUUAAAACUGUUAGUCUUGAGAUCGAGAGAGGUGAGUGGAAUUCCAAGUGUAGAGGUGAAAUUCGUAGAUAUUUGGAGGAACACCAGUGGCGAAGGCGGCUCACUAGACCAAUAUUGACGCUGAUACGCGAGAGCGUGGGUAGCAAACAGGAUUAGAUA
rnacentral:rRNA from 1 species